rnacentral:tRNA from 1 species
UGGUCUAGUGGUUAAGGCACCAGACUUGAAAGCUGGAGACUGUGAGUUCAAGUCCUGC